UCUAGAUACGGGAGGGAGCAUCUCUAGC
rnacentral:piRNA from 1 species